rnacentral:misc_RNA from 1 species
AACUGAUACUACCUGCGGGAACCUGCGGAGGGAUCAUUACAGAGAACUUGCCCGUCUGGGUAGAUCUACCACCCUUUGUUUACUAUACCUUUGUUGCUUUGGCAAGCCUGUCUUGUGACUACUGGCCUCCAGCUAGUAAGUGCUUGCCAGAGGACCCCAAACACUUUACAUUGUGUUGUCUGAGUAGUACAGAAAUUUUUAAAACUUUUAACAACGGAUCUCUAGAUCGGAAGAGCACAC